AUUUUGUGAGGGUAAAAUUUCUUUCUCAAUUCUCAAGGGUGCGAACAGGGAUUUGAAAAGCUUCACUUCAAAAUGGGGGACAACGCUCAAAACUUCGCCACUGGAGAUGAUUCUUCUCCAAAGGGGCUUGUCAAUAACUUAACUGAGAAUUUAAAUGGAGUCAAUCUGAAUGACAAUCUUGAACAGGGACCACUACCAAGGUAUAUAUAUUGGAAACACGCUAGAAUUCACCUGCCGCCUGAUUUUACCCUUCAUUUUAUGUUGAAUUGAG